rnacentral:rRNA from 1 species
AUUGAACGCUGGCGGCAGGCCUAACACAUGCAAGUCGGGCGAGCGGCGGACGGGUGAGUAAUGUAUGGGGAUCUGCCUGAUGGCGGGGGAUAACUACUGGAACCGGUAGCUAAUACCGCAUACCAUCAGAUGAACCCACAUGGGAUUAGCUAGUUGGUGGGGUAAAGGCUCACCAAGGCAACGAUCCGUAGCUGGUUUGAGAGGACGACCAGCGACACUGGGACUGAGGCACGGCCCAGACUCCUCCGGUAGGCAGCAGUGGGGAAUUUUGGACAAUGGGGGAAAGCCUGAUCCAGCCAUCCCGCGUGUAUGAUGAAGGCCUUCGGGUUGUAAAGUACUUUUGGCAGAGAAGCGGUAUCUGCAGAAUAAGCACCGGCUAACUACGUGCCAGCAGCCGCGGUAAUAC